GAUUUCCUUCUUAAGCAAAUCACAGUGGCAAACACUUAAAAUGUUGCCCUUUCUCUAUAAAGACAUUGGUGCCAUUGUGUCUUGCAGUCUUGCUCACUUGGAUGGGAGUAAAACACCUCUUGCCACAAAGACAGUAGGAAGGUUUAUUUGGAACCAAAUAUGAGUGACUAUGUCCAGAUGACAUGUAAUUACAUAUGCCACCAUAGAAGUAGUUAUAACACAGAGCAAUUACAAAUCAAUGCAUUUGCCAGAUAUUUUGGUGGGAAUAUCAGGUAAGUAUUCCACAGACUGGUGGAAUCUAUGGUAGGUUUCAAAUACUGAUGCCAUGGUUAACAUGUUAGAAAACUCCAUGACUGCCUUAAUACAUUCCAUGUUUUACUCUACACCCAAAAGGAGGAGGGCAACAAAGAGCUGGAAAGGCAACUAAAGAUAGCCUGAGAUAGUUUUGGCCUUUGAUUUGCAGUACACUUUUCCAGUUUUCUAAUUUGUGUCUGCAGAAUCUUCAGCACAGACCUUUCCAGGAAACCCCAGUCCAUAAAGGUAAACCACUAUAGAUCACUGCAAGGAAAUGUGGCAGAAGCCAGGGCUAGGAGAUGCAGAAAGAAAGGACAGUGGAAACAGUGGGAAGCUGAUUCAGAACAGUUGCAACAAGACCAAGAGAAUACCCAGGAGUACAGUGCAUCAGGGUGAGCCCAGCAAGUCCUGGCUGGCUUGGGUGGGAGAUGGGACUUGUUCCUAAUUAAGGAGGGGAAAAAAAAAAGUUGCCCCAGGCAAGCGUCUCAAAAGGAACAGCCCUAGGCUGUACCUAAUUCCUAUUCUUUGCAAAGACUCAAGAAGGUUCAUACAAAGGAGUUGCUGGGAAAGGAGGCAGCGAUGUCAAGAUGGCCAACUUGUAAAUGUAGUUUCUCUUCCCUACACUCCAGUGUUUUGUUCCUUAAGACAGGCUGACUGGAAUUCAUCAUGUCCUACUGCCUCAACUUCCUAGGGCUAGAUUUAAGAGUCGAGCACCUCCGGGUCCUAUCCUCAGAGGUGCUGAGGACUGAGUCCAGGGCUUCGUGAAUGUUAGGCAAGCUCUGCCGACUGAGCUGCAUUCACAACCACUAGUCCAGUAAUCAAACCUGGAGCAGCAGCCCGGCCUGCGAAAAGUCAGUUCACCUUGAAGGAGGGGCAAAAGACGAAAAGCUCGGUUCUCUGGCUCAUUCCAUCCCGGCCUUUGUCCUCUCCGGCUCCCUAUUGGCUGGGUCGGUUGAAGUCCCAGCAAGGGGGCGGGGCUCUGUGACGCAUGCGUGACGUGUUCAGGGGUAUAAAUAGUCGGCGGGCUGAGCGCUCUCACACAGGAGCCGCCGGCAAGGGGGCAAAGAGGAAGCUCUAUUGAAGCCGGAGAGAAGUUGAAAUUACAGACAUCUUGCCAAAAUGAUUUCUUCAAAGCCCAGACUUGUUGUACCCUAUGGCCUCAAGACUCUGCUUGAGGGAGUUAGCAGAGCCAUUCUCAAAACCAAUCCAACAAACAUCACCCAGUUUGCAGCCGUUUAUUUUAAAGAACUCAUUGUGUUUAGAGAAGGGAAUUCGUCUCUGGAUAUAAAAGAUCUGAUUAAACAGUUUCACCAGAUGAAAGUAGAGAAAUGGGCAGAAGGAGUGACAGUGGAGAAGAAAGAAUGCAUCAAGGAACUCCUAAAACCACCUCCAGUUCCCUGCGAACCUACACAUAUGGAAAAAUCCACAGACACAGAGGAGGACAAUGUAGCUGGACCACUAUUUAGCAACAAAACCACUCAGUUUCCAUCAGUUCAUGCUGACCUACAGCCUGAGGAGACAAGUGAAGGAGCUCGGGGUCCCUCUGACAAACCGACUACUCCUAAGGCGACCACCCCACCCUCAUCACCACCUCCAGUGCCUGUCUCUGCCGAGUACGCUUAUGUCCCCGCUGACCCAGCUCAGUUUGCCGCUCAGAUGUUAGGUAAUGUGCCAUCUACUUAUUCUGAAGUUUUAAUGGUGGACGUGGCAACAAGUACGCCUGCUGUUCCCCAGGAGGUACUGAGUGCAGAGUUUGCUGAAGAAGUCGUGCUGUCUGCUCCUCUGGUGUGUUCUGGAGAGACGGUAGAAGUGCAGGUUGUGAGCAAAACAUCUGCGCAGGUAGUUGUGGGUCCUGUGUCUGAGGCUGAACCACCAAAGGCUUCCUCAGCCCCCUUGCAGGGUGAACAAGAACCUCCUGCUCACGAAGCUCCUGAUAUCCAGGUUACAUCAGCCAGUCGUAUAUCAUCCAUAUAUAACGAUGUGCCUGUCAAUGAAGGAGUUGUCUAUGUUGAGGAGAUACCGGGAUACGUAGUUAUCCCUUUUACUGAUCAUGAUCAAGUUGCUUGUGUUAAAGAAAUUGAGCAGUCACCACCAGGUAGUCCCAAAGCUGUAGAACCCAAGACCAAAAUAUCUGUAGAGUCUCUGAAAACUGUACAGGUGGAGGAGAAUCCCCAACACAAGUCCUCAGUACAUGUGGAGGCAGAAGCUACAGUUCUGCUCUCUAACACUGCUUUAGAUGGUCAGCCCGAGGUACCUGCAGAACCCCUGGAUGCAGAGGGCUUUUUCAAAGUAGCCUCUGAAAAUUCUCUGCACCUUGAAACGGAGAUCGUUACCAUAAACUCUGAUGAUCCUGGCCAGGAGGAGUCAGGGGGGAACGCUGCACCCCAUUCGUCUGGUGACCCCUUCCCUCCUGCGCCAGGAGGCCUUACUGAAGCAGAAAUGCAACCAGAUGGGGAAGCUGCGCCUGAACAGGUUUGAUGAAGCCAGCACUAGCAACAAGCGAAGCAGGACAACCACCACCAUAUUCUAAUAUGUGGACACUUUAUUGUCUAACUGAUAUGAAUCAACAAAGUCGCCCAUCACCGCCACCUGCACCUGGGCCUUUUCCCCAAGCAACCCUGUAUUUACCUAAUCCUAAGGAGCCACAGUUUCUGCAGAACCCACCGAAAGUCACUUCUCCAACUUAUGUGAUGAUGGAUGACAGCAAGAAGACCAAUGCCCCACCUUUUAUAUUAGUAGGCUCAAAUGUUCAGGAAGCGCAGGAUUGGAACCCUCUUCCUGGACAUGCUGUUGUGUCACAAGCAGAUGCCUUGAAGAGAUAUGCUGCAGUGCAAGUGCCCAUUGCUGUUCCUGCAGAUCAGACAUUCCAGAGACCUGCCCCAAAUCCCCAGAAUGCUAGUCCUCCUACAAGUGGACAAGAUGGCCCCAGACCGAAAAGCCCAGUCUUUCUUUCUGUUGCUUUCCCAGUAGAAGAUGUAGCUAAAAAGAGUUCAGGAUCUGGUGACAAACGUACUCCCUUUGGAAGUUAUGGUAUUGCUGGCGAAAUUACUGUGACUACUGCCCAUGUCCGCAGAGCAGAACCUUAAAAGAAUGCUGAUGCUGUUUGAUUCAGCAUUCAAGGUGGAGUUUGUCACCAUGUGAACUGUAUCAAUAAACUUCCUGCAAGC